ACCAGACUCCUACGGGAGGCAGCAGUGGGGGAUAUUGCACAAUGGGGGAAACCCUGAUGCAGCGACGCCGCGUGGGUGAAGAAGCGCCUCGGCGCGUAAAGCCCUGUCGGCAGGGAAGAAAAUGACGGUACCUGAAGAAGAAGCCCCGGCUAACUACGUGCCAGCAGCCGCGGUAAUACGUAGGGGGCAAGCGUUAUCCGGAUUUACUGGGUGUAAAGGGGGCGCAGACGGCGAUGCAAGCCAGGAGUGAAAGCCCGGGGCCCAACCCCGGGACUGCUCUUGGAACUGCGUGGCUGGAGUGCAGGAGAGGUAAGUGGAAUUCCUAGUGUAGCGGUGAAAUGCGUAGAUAUUAGGAGGAACACCAGUGGCGAAGGCGGCGUACUGGACGGUAACUGACGUUGAGGCUCGAAAGCGUGGGGAGCAAACAGGAUUAGAUACCCCGGUAGAC
rnacentral:rRNA from 1 species